rnacentral:ribozyme from 1 species
AGUAAUACCGCACUAAUAUGGGUAUGGAUCCGAAGCCUCUAGAAGGAUAAUGUAGGCACUCCGUAACCUACUCUGACUCAAUACGUCCCCGUCGUACAGAAGGGUGACAUAUCUCUAAACUAUCUGAUCUUGGGUAUACGGUGAAACCCAACCCCUUGGGACAAUGCGGUAUAUGGCUAAAUUGAGCGGA